AAGAAUAUAAUAUAUAAUAAUGUGUUUCAUUUACAUUGAAAAAAAACUCUUAAUGAGUUGUUCUUA
rnacentral:tRNA from 1 species